CCUCGCCGGCUGCUGUCAGUGUGUGUCUCUCCUCUCACACCCUCCCCUCCUCCUGUUGGUCCUGUAGUUUGUGCGCGCACAUCGGAGCAGGUGAGUAAAUCACAGAGAUGCCGAGUGUGAGAUAACGAGGCGAUGGGGGAUUCUCGCGGUUCCAGAUGCAUCGCCCAAGGCUGAAUGGAAGGGGUGGAGCAAACCGGCACCAGCACAGCUGUUCACAUGAUGCACCAUGAUGGGGUCAUGGAUACCAAUGAAGACCCUUGGAGUCUUGGACCUUUUUAAAAGUAAAAUGUGGAACAGUGGAAAUGACUUUUUUAAACAAUCGCCAAAGAGCAACGUUGCAACUUCUGGGAUUCUCAAAGCGAAUGCUCAAGUAUUGACGCUACAUAUUAAGCCUAAUCACUUGCUUUGGAUGAAACACGUCUAUUGUAUUAAGAAAUGGCAGAGCUGAUUGGUUCCUGCCGCAGAACCCUCCACCUUC